GUCAGCCAUGUUUAGCCGGCUGACCCACGGGGUGUCCUCUGUCCUCCAGGAGCUCUCGGGUGAGGAGCGCUCCGAUGGAGACUUCCAGGAUGGUCCGGUACCUCGGCCUCAGCCUGAUGCUGAAGCAUCCCUGCAGGGCUUGGAGACCUCGGAAGAGGUCCUGGAGAGGCUGGCCCAGACCGAACAGCUGGUGGUUCAGCUGAAGGAGCUGAUUCGAGAGAAGGACAGCCAGCUCGCCAGAACUGAAAAACAGCUCAAGGAAGAGAAAGAACAGGCAGAAGUCAAGUUUACAAAGCUUAAACUGCAGGCCAAAGCCAAGACGGCUGCCCUGAACAAACAGCUCAAUGAGCUGAAAGGACAAGAAGCACUGAACAGCAGUCAGGUAAAGAGACAAGCUGACAUAUUGGUGUUAUUUUAAGCAUGAAGUGGUCUUGGAUGGCUUAAUAUAAUUAUUAUUAGUGGUGUAUUCUGUUGUUCAUCUAUAUUUGGGUGGUUGCUAAAUUCAUUAAAAUUUUCAGUACGGCANAUACAGGUGCAUCUCAAUAAAUUAGAAUGUCGUGGAAAAGUUCA
ensembl:lncRNA